CGUUGAGAAGCUUAUAAAUGGGGAGAAGCGUUGGCCUUUUAAGCUAAAGAUAGGUGGCUCCCGACCACCCUUAACGA
rnacentral:tRNA from 1 species